AGGACGAACGCUGGCGGCGUGCUUAACACAUGCAAGUCGAGCGGAAAGGCCCUUCGGGGUACUCGAGCGGCGAACGGGUGAGUAACACGUGAGCAACCUGCCCUUAGCUUCGGGAUAGCUCCGGGAAACCGGAAUUAAUACCGGAUAUGACAACGGCCGACAUCGGCCAUUGUGGAAAGUUUUUCGGCUAGGGAUGGACUCGCGGCCUAUCAGCUAGUUGGUGAGGUAACGGCUCACCAAGGCGACGACGGGUAGCCGGCCUGAGAGGGCGACCGGCCACACUGGGACUGAGACACGGCCCAGACUCCUACGGGAGGCAGCAGUGGGAAUAUUGCGCAAUGGGCGAAAGCCUGACGCAGCGACGCCGCGUGGGGAUGAAGGCCUUCGGGUUGUAACCCUUUCAGCAGGGACGAAGCGAAAGUGACGGUACCUGCAGAAGAAGCGCCGGCUAACGUACGUGCCAGCAGCCGC
rnacentral:rRNA from 1 species